AUACGUAGGGGGCGAGCGUUGUCCGGAAUGAUUGGGCGUAAAGGGCGCGUAGGCGGCCUGUUAAGUCUGGAGUGAAAGUCCUGUUUUCAAGAUGGGAAUUGCUUUGGAUACUGAUGGGCUUGAGUGCAGGAGAGGUUAUCGGAAUUCCCGGUGUAGCGGUGAAAUGCGUAGAGAUCGGGAGGAACACCAGUGGCGAAGGCGGGUAACUGGACUGCAACUGACGCUGAGGCGCGAAAGUGUGGGGAGCAAACAGGAUUAGAUACCCUGGUAGUCCACACUGUAAACGAUGAAUGCUAGGUGUAAGAGGUAUCGACCCCUUUUGUGCGGGAGUUAACACAAUAAGCAUUCCGCCUGGGGAGUACGGCCGCAAGGUUGAAACUCAAAUGAAUUGACGGGG
rnacentral:rRNA from 1 species